AGAAAUCACACAUGUAUAAUCCUCAGAAAGCUCAAUUUCACUUGCUGAGAGAGAUCCGAUCAAUCCUUGGCCAGAGCCAACCGAUGCUGGAAUCGAAUUCAGUUUCAUAGGCAAAAAAUUGUCCGGAUUUGGGUUUCCUCCAAGUAUUUGAGGAGGUGAACUAACUUGGGUAGUCAUAUUUCCUGGGCAUAAAUUCCCAGAACUCAAAUUGGACUGGCGCUUGGUUAAAUUAGUUAGGGACGAGAAUGACCUGCUGGAAUCCAACGAACAAGAUCGAAUCCUUCCAAAUGCCUCGGGUUCUAAUGGGGUUUCUUCAAUUUCAAACACAACAUCAGAAUCCCGCUUCUGGGGUCGAGAUUUGAUCUGGGUAUGAGGAAAACUUGCAUAGUUUUUAGGCAGAGACUUUGAACCAUCAAAAAAAUUGAUAUGGCUUGGAGAAUUAGGGGUUUUAAUCCUCAUCUGAGGUCCAAAAAGAAUAGUCUUACUCUCCGAUGAUCCGAGAACUUUACCGGAUAGUUUCCCACCAUCAUCAAGAGAAUCUAUGAUGCUUAAACCUACUUUACUGCAAUCCCAGCUCUUGUGCUGCCCAUCUUGGGAUGAUCUUGGGGACCUAAAUGGGCUGCCUAGAUUUGAAAAUACUCUAAAAUCUAGAGGAGAGGUAGGGCUUCUAACUGAAUCAGAAUCUGAUAAACCCUUAUAAUUCAAUCCUACAAACAGGCCAGGGACACUGAAAAAGGAGUUGCCUUUGUGUUUCUGCCCCAUAACAUCAGACUGAAAAUAGAGCUCAGAAACAGCAUCAGCCAUUGUUGGAUGACCCAUGUGUUGAUCUUUCUGAAAUGAUCUGCUCCUCUUCCUCAGCAUUAUCUCAAAACCUCCCUUAUCUGUAUUAAAAUUAACAGAUUCAUUGAUUUAUAAAAGGAAAAAAAAAAUCAAAUGGAAAAUAAUUUUGAUCCAAAUGAAAUGGUAAAGAAAACACCAUCAAUCCAUGAGCUUAAGAAAUAAAACCCACUGCUAAACAGUAGUUUUAGAAAAAGAUGAAUGAGCUUGCAUGUAUAGAAGAUCAAAAGAAAUACAUCAUCCGUGAUUGAAAGGGGUCUAAUAAGGGCAGAGACAUUCAGUACUAAGCAUCCUUCAAAUGCAGAUAAAGAUCAAUAAGGACCAUUUGUCACCGCUUGUUUGGCCGCUGAGAAAACGUAGGAAAAAGGAAGGAAAGCAAAAUUUUGAAUCUGGAAACUCCAAACACAAGCACUUGCCUUUAUUCGUUUGUGUCACUGUUACCCUUUUUCAAAAAUCAAAGCAACAGAAAAAAUAACACUCCGAUAGCCCUCCCUUUUUUUCCAGUUUUCCCAGCAACCAAACAGGUGCCAAGUACAUUCCAAACCCCAUGUAAGAAAACCCUCGAUCACAUCACCACACACCAUCCCAAGAUAAAUGAGAAAGAAAAAAAAAUCAUCAGAAGAAAAAAUUAACAUGAACACUCAAAAGAUAACGAAACCCACCUCCAAAUAUUCAUUGAUGGACAAGAAAGCACUAAAAAUGAGAUAUCCAGAUGAUGAAACUCCAUGAAUGAACAGAAAAUGCUCCCAAAACAAAGAAAACAACUCCUACCAAGAUGAUCAACACACAUCAAAGAAAAAGGAUCAAACUUAAUCUUUCUUGCUCAUCACCAUCGACCCAAAAGCCAAAAACCAGAAAAAUCUAUACCCAACAAAAAAAAAUGUAUGAAUCCAUCAUGAGGUUCAGUGGAAUCACUGAGAUAAGGGAAUGAGGAGCAGAGAAUCAUGAAGAAGAUGGAAACCCACCUGGGUUUCUCCUCUGAAAACUUCACAGUGAUGCUGAGGAGACCCCCAAAUGCAGUAAAAAAAAUAUAGGUUUCACAAGGUGUAUGUGUGUGUGUGAAACUUGUGUAGUACUCCUCACUCUCUCUCUCUCUCUCUCUCUCUCUCUAUCUAUCUAUC
rnacentral:lncRNA from 1 species